rnacentral:lncRNA from 13 species
GCUGUGGAAAGGCCCGUGGUGCAUCUCUGGGAGCAUCUCUGGAAUGGGAAUGGGCAAUGGACACCUUUCAUCUCCUUGGCCUCCUCCACUUGACUGCAUGUGGGGAUUCAGCAGGAGGGACAAGACUGCUCCAGCAAUACAUCAGAGAGCAGUGUAAACACUCUGGCUGUGAGGACGUGGUGCUUAUCUUCAACAUGGGUGGUACAGGCACUGGUGAGCUUCGGCCCCCGCUUCGCGCAGCCCGAGGUGGCAACAAGUCACGUUCUGCAUGGAAAACAAAGCAAAUGGAUACCACUCAUUUCACCUCCUGAUGAGACAGACAAGUUCUUGCAGUACACCUCUGUUCCCUGCCGCUCAUCCUGGUGGCACUGGGGACAUCCUGGGAGUAAGGUAAAGCUGAGUUUGACUCACUUGCUAUCAGAUUUAUUUCAAGCUCCACCAACCAACCAAAAAAUGUGUUCAUACUGAACAGCCUUUAAUUUCAGCCAGCAUGAAGCAGGACCUCCUGCCUCAUGCCAUGGGAUUUCUCGCUUUGUGAGACAAAAACCAGUCAGAUGAGCUUUUAUUCUAAAUCAUAUAGGAUGAGCUUGCCUUCGGUAAUGCCUUUAGAUGAACUAUUCUGUAGCUGGCCAUCCCACUCUGUCAUUGCCUGGAGCUCUCCUCCGCUGUGUGUAUGUGAAUGCCAGCACACAAAACAUCCCUGCUAAUUGCUGAGUGCUGCUGGAUGUAGCUGGGUAGGAAAAAAGGAGCAUAUGUGCUUUAACAGAGCUGGAUGUGUGCUUUGAGUGCUGGUUGUGGUUCUGCAGUAGCCAGAUGUGGCACCAUGCUUAAUUUAACCUCUCUUUGUGUUGUUACAGCCUGUAGUGCAGACCUUGAAAACGGACAUAGUUGGAACCUGGGGCUCCCCAAAGGAGAAAGUAAAUUGCAUAUUCCAGUUUCCUGGGAAUCCUGGGUGCCAUUGGUUAACCAGAAGGGAAGAAGUCUCCGUCUUGAAAUGGGAGCUGAGGAUAUCAAAAGCUGGUCCUCACUUUGAGGGAGGAAGGAGAAGUAGAGGAGGUUGAUGCUGUGGAUUUCUCAGUGGCCUGGAAGGAAUUAGGAGAUUACAGGCUCCCCUUGUCUGUCCUGUGUAAAGGUAAAUCCUUCUCGAUCAGGUGCCAUCACAUAAACCCAAAAUCAGUUCUUCAAACCCAUUCCAGUCUUCUAGGUUUUGCAGUGUUUUGUGUUUCACAGGCAACCACUUACAGAGUCCUCAAAUUGGCCCUAAAAAUUGCAAUUACUGCUUUUGCACUGAGGAUUUAUGAGGAGCAGAAUGUCCUAUUUGCCCACGUGUGCAGAGCUGAAGGUAAGGGCACGUGAAGCAUUAAAUGCAAAAAAAAAACAUUAAAAAAUUUAGCAUUUAGUUUCAAGUGCCAUUUUUGAACAGCUGAUUCUUGUUGCUCCACUGUGUGUGUGUGUAAAUUGUGGUGGGAACAUAGUGACUUAAAUCAACACUUUGCAGUGACAUGUCUGAAACAAUUACUCUUUGAAGACAGGAAUAUAACAAGAACUCGGGUCUGGGCUGUGUCUGUGGGAACACUUUCUACCAAGAAUUAAAGGAUGCGUGUUCUAGAUCAAAGUAGCCUAUACUUCAUAUUAUGUCUAAUUACCAUACCAUUCAUCUUUAUUAAAUUCAUUUGUUUUAAUUAAAAGAAUAGAUAUUUUGCAUCAGAGUUUACGGGGUCUGUUGGGCACUUGAGAUUAAAUCAAUGGUUUGUUAACAAUUUUAUCUGGAAAGUAGAUUAGAUUAUUUAAAUUAUGCAAAGCAGCAUCGUUUUUCUUUUUCAGUAGAAUGAAGUAAUGAUUAAGAAAUAACGCUUGGAGCAUGAAAGCUCUGCUUGUCAUUAUUUUUCAUAUUCAUAUUUGGGAUUUUAGAGUGAAAUUGUUCAUCUCCAAACUGGUUUUAUUAUAUUGAAUUUGGCAAAAUAGAAGAAGUGCUGCAGUAGUGUCUCACAGCAGGUGUUUUCCAAUGGUGAUAUGGAGGAUGCCAGUGCUGGAUGCUGGACUCAGUUGGACCAUAUUUUAGAUUUGUAUUGUAUUUUUGUGCUGUUGGAGCAGUAAGUCUCGUUAAUCAGUUCAUAAAACAGUAGGAUAAAAAAAAUGCACUGAAGGUGUAAAACAGUCAACGCCAGAAGAGUUUAAAGAGUAGCUUAAUAAAUAAAACAUAAUUGGAUAAAAUAGGCAAGUAAUAAGCUGAGGGCAGCCCAAAUGUGUAAUUUCUUGUGGUCUGUGGCUAUGCAUCAGUUUGCACUGCAUCUGCGUGAAGCCUGGAGGUGUUGUGGAGUUGCAUUAACAGUGCUGUGCUGUUGAGGUGCCUCGUUUUAUCCUGCUCCUGC